rnacentral:rRNA from 1 species
GAGUUUGAUCUUGGCUCAGGACGAACGCUGGCGGCGUGCUUAACACAUGCAAGUCGAACGGUAAGGCUCCAGCUUGCUGGGGUACACGAGUGGCGAACGGGUGAGUAACACGUGGGUGACCUGCCCUGCACUUCGGGAUAAGCCUGGGAAACUGGGUCUAAUACCGGAUAGGACCGCACCGUGAGGGUGUGGUGGAAAGUUUUUUCGUGUGGAGUGGCCCGGCGGCCUAUCAGCUUGUUGGUGGGGUAAGUGGCCUACCAAGGCGGCGACGGUAGCCGGCCUGAGAGGGUGGACGGCCACCAUUGGGACUGAGACACGGCCCAGACUCCUACGGGAGGCAGCAGUGGGGAAUAUUUGCACAAUGGGCGGAAGCCUGAUGCAGCGACGCCGCGUGGGGA